GCUUAGACAUGAAGGGCUGGGUUUUAUUUCUCCAGUAGUUGGGUUCUACUGCCAGAAAUGUCAGGAAUUCAUUGGAGAUUUGAAUUCUGCUGAAAACCAUGCAACUUUCCACCAAAGUCGGUUGGACAAGCAUGCUAGAGACAGCAAAGGUCACAGCAGCAGCAGCACCAGCAGCCAGCCCUCCCAUUCAGCCUCCUGGAGUGACAGAGAGCUGCAGCGGAACUGGAAGGAUGAGAAGGAGCUCCGGAGCAGCCAACGAGACAGCAGGUCUGAGCAGGCAAACAUCUGCUUUCAGGAAGAGAUGAAGAAGGAGAGGAUGCUCAUAACCGUCAACAGAGGGCUAACGCCUUCACCUCAAAGUGUCACCUUGAAACAAGAGAACAAGGAGCACGGGAAAGGCAAAGAGAAACCAGUCGGCAGCGAGAAAUCGUCCAAAACCAGCAGAGAGAAGCACAAGACGGAAACUUCUGAGAGCUGUGACAGCAGUGAAGAGAGAAAUCACCUAAAGUCAGACAACCUAAAAAGAAAAAGAAGAAGGAGAAAAAGAAGAAGAAGAAGAAGAGUAAGGAUUAGUGUUUGUAGAGUAUGGCUUUCUGGAAAUGCUGACGCAUCGCUGCAGCUCAACGUUAAAACUUUCAGGUCUUAAAUUUCAUUAAGAAGCCACUUUCUGUAUUGUUGUUCUUUGGUUCUGACCUGCGAAGAAAGUUCACCCUAAAAAUCCAACACUGACUUUGCUGCAUUGGUAAGUUCUCCUGCACAGAGAAAAAACAUAGAAGUGUCUGUGUGUGUCACAGAGAGGGAUGGUGGUAGGAGUCACAACCGGAUUGGAGUUUUGAGGCAAAUGCAUUUAAUCCCUUUCUUUUCAGACGUUCAUCUUUUUAUCUUUAUUCCUCAGUCUGUAGUUUUAACAUGGAACCUGGGGUUGGCUGAUGGUGGGAAUGUCUCCAAUACUGUCCUUGCGUUCUGAGUCCACCUUGUAAACACAUCGAUCUUUACUGGUUCCAUUUAUUUACAUCACAAAUGGCUAAUUGUCGUCACAUUUAUUAGGAGUAUUUUUCAGUUCUUGUUUAUUUUCCUAUUUUUCAUCAGAACUCCCAACCUGACACGUGUCUGUCUUGUGAUAUUGUAAAUAAAAAACCCAAACCUUUGUAAUAAAAUGUGUGAAAAGUCA